UCGAGGAUCAUUUGCAAUGGGGGAAACCCUGACAAUGCGACGCUGCGUGGAGGAUGACGGUCUUCGGAUUGUAAACUCCUGUCAUACGGGACGAAUAAAUGAGGGUUAACAGCCCUUUGAAGGGACGGUACCGUAAGAGGAAGCCACGGCUAACUCUGUGCCAGCAGCCGCGGUAAUACAGAGGUGGCGAGCGUUGUUCGGAUUUACUGGGCGUAAAGGGCGCGUAGGCGGCAAGGUAUGUGAGGUGUGAAAUCCAUGGGCUCAACCCAUGAAGUGCGCCUCAAACUGCUUUGCUUGAGUUCGGGAGGGGAGAUCGGAAUACAGGGUGUAGCGGUGAAAUGCGUUGAUAUCCUGUAGAACACCGGUGGCGAAGGCGGAUCUCUGGAACGUUACUGACGCUGAGGCGCGAAAGUAGGGGGAGCAAACA
rnacentral:rRNA from 1 species